AUUCUGUAGCAAUACAGAAUAGCGCUAGUGGCGAACGGGUGAGUAAUAUAAAGGUAACCUACCUCAGAGUGGAGCAUAAUUCCGCGAAAGCGGAACUAAUUCUCCAUAUUAUCCUGUUGCAUAAGUGACAGGAUGAAAGGCUUCGGUCGCUCUGAGCGGGGCUUUUACCCUAUCAGCUUGUUGGUGAGGUGACGGCCCACCAAGGCGAUGACGGGUAGGGGGUGUGAGAGCAUGACCCCCCACAUGGGAACUGCGACACGGUCCCAACUCCUACGGGAGGCAGCAGUCUAGAAAUUUGGGCAAUGGGCGAAAGCCUGACCCAGCGACGCCGCGUGAGGGAUGAAGUCCUUCGGGAUGUAAACCUUUGUUGAGGGGGACGAUAAUGACGGUACCCCUCGAGGAAGCCUCGGCUAACUCCGUGCCAGCAGCCGCGGUAAUACGGAGGAGGCAAGCGUUGUCCGGAAUCACUGGGCGUAAAGGGUGUGUAGGUGUCCUAAUGGGUCAGAUGUGAAAUCCAACCGCUCAACGGUUGAAUUGCAUUUGAAACUAUCAGGAUAGAGGGCACUAGGGGAGAGUGGAACUCGCGGUGUAGCGGUAGAAUGCGUGGAUAUCGCGAGGAAUGCCGAUGGCGAAGGCGGCUCUCUAGGGUGUUC
rnacentral:rRNA from 1 species